UUGACCCCCAGAAAUUUCAGAGCGGCCAGCAGGACUGGAAGGUGACCGGCCGAGCCGGGCUUUGGCCACCGGAGUAAACUGGGGCGGGUGGACAGGGAGUCGGGCAGGACGCCCUUAAAAGUCGGUCUGGGCCGGCGGAGUGGAAGGGGUUAAAUCACUGCUAGUGGGCCGAGCGUUUUCCCGCGGCGCGUUUCACGGGCGGCGGAACUCCGGGGGCCACCUCUUUUGUCCCCGGGAGGGAAAUAUAAAUUGAGCCGCCACGCCGACCCUUUUCUUUUUUUUUUUUCUUUUUGCGGCUUGAAUGUAUUAGAAGAACUCACCAAACUGAACGAGAAGCGAAAGCAUCGUAGUCUUUCUUCCUGAGUAACCCUGCACAAAGGAGAAUGAUGACCACACGGGUCUAUCCGUAGAGGGCGCUUUAAUGUCCAGAGCCUGUUUACCCUUGUGGAGUUAGCCCUGAAGGAACUGAGGCCGGGAGGGACAGCAGCAGCAGCACCCUGGUGGCGCUUAAUGGGUUAUGAAAUCCAUAACCUCUUAUUUUCCCUUUGUGACCUGCUCCAGUGCCACAGCCAGUGGAAGUGGCCGGCAACGGCUUGAAUAAAUCCUGCAUUAAGUGGCUUUGGGGGAGUCAAACGCCACCGAGGGCACCUUGGGGGAAAUUAUGAGAACACACUGUCCAAAUGAUUAUCACCACUGCUACUGCUGUCGAGUCUUAGAUCACCUACUUCCUUCCCUCUUCGCGCCAGCCAAAUAACUUUAACACUCGCCUGGAAGACAUUAGGGAGAGUCGGAAAGAGAAACAGGCAGUGAGACAAAGUCCUAAAAAUAGACACCCUGGCCCUUGGCCCAGGUUACUCUUGUUUUCAAAUUUUGCUGUUGCUCAUAGCUCUUUCCUUACGUCAGGGACAAUUAUGAAAGAGUUUUGGGGGCUGGUGGGGAGGCUGGUGGGGAGGCAUGGGGAAUGGGCUUGUAGGGGCCAAGGGCAGGCUGCACCAAGAAGGGCCAGUUUGGUCUGAACAUUAUUUUGAAUUAAAAGCAAGGAAACCGCAGCAGAUUUGGGAAAAGCUCUUUACCUCCCCCUCCAAUCGCCUGCCCCACCAGGAAGAGAGCUAUUACCAGAGAUUUCUCUUUACCUAAGAAGUUUCUCUGCAUAAUAAGGCAAGCUUUCUUUUCCAAACUUCUCCUUUUACCUCCCUGCUAAGAGUCUUUCUCCCCUUUGUCUCCUUAGGCCCCUACCCCUCUCCUCUGCUCCCAUAAGCUCUUGUUGCCUCACUGCCUUCGGAAUUUGCGUGUCUGCAUGGAUUCCCCUUACAUAGGAACCUAAAUCUGAUUUUCUCCUGUAAAAAAAAAUCUGUCAGCUGUCGGUUUGACUCUUAGUAGAAUCAAAUGACUAGUAGAAGGACCUUAAAGGGCAGAGAAAAUUCUUCCUCCUUGACAAAGUGAUCUGGGGAAACUUUUGUGAAAGAGCUAUGUAUUUCCAAAAUGUUUGUGAAGCGGAUGGAUAGGGCACUCAUUCUCUCCGAGGCAGGCAGAAGAAAUUCUUGGGGGGGGGUGGGUAGGAACACUGGCCUGAGCACCCCUACAUUGCCUUAUAAUCCUUUGAGUAAGAGUUCAGGGUUAUGUAUGCUGGAAUGUGAAGGUUAGUACUGAAACACCCUCUGGGAUUGCCAUCCAGCCUGCAAAGCUCGCUGUGUAUAUUUCUUUAUGGAAGGAAGAUUUAUUAGAUUUGUCUUUCUUUUAAACCGGACCGUUUCACUCUCUGAGACCUAAUGGUCACCUGCACUGGUUUCCCUCUGCUCUCAAAACAGAGUCCACUGUUCUAAGCAGGCACACAGGCGGUUCAUGAAUUGGCCUCUGCUUAUCUCACUAACCUCACGUCUCACUCCAUAUGCCACCCCAAACUCCUUGCAGUUCCUGGAACUUGUGCUUCUCAGAAUGUGAUAUAGGGUUUGUCCCCACCCCCACACUUAGUCACAUGUGCUCUGUCUUCUGCACGCAACCUUCUCCCACCUUGUUCUCCAACCUGUCACCCCCAGUGCACACACACUUUUUUGGGGAGGUGGGGGGCCUGGCUAAGGUGUGCUCAGUCUUUAGAAUAAGCAAUUUCUCUUUCAGGAAGUUUUCCUUGAACUGCCAUGCCUCCAUUGGAACCCCCAUCUAUGCCAUGUGGUUUCCAUAGCACCUUGUGGUUACUCUACACAGUUUUUAAAAGACAGGAAAGUACAAAGAUUCAACUUCUGGGACCACAAGGGACUAAGAAGUACGGGACCAUCUGCUUCUAACAGAACUGCUGAAAAAAAGAUAGCAAUGCAUGAAAGGAAGAAAGGAGGAGCCCCGGGCGGUGAGAUGAGAAGAGAGAACCCAGAAGCACCCAUCUGUGUUUGAGGUGAAAAUAAGCCCAAAUGGCUGACUGGAGGUGACUUGUGACCAACACCAGGCCAACUGCCGGGCACAUACUAUACUUCACAGUCAAGAACAUUGAAAAAAAAAUCCAGACAAAUAUGGGGACAGAUUUCCUGUUUACCCCCAGCUGUGAUUAUCCCAGUAUGUGGAAUAACAUACACAACAAUGGGAGAGACAGGAAGCCAAUGCUAGUCAUGGACGGAGUGAUGGAUGUGGGAACAGGUUGUGUGGAGCUACUCAGUCUUUUUAAAUAAUUGGGUUAGCUGGUGACUUUGUGUAAGUCCUCCCUGGUUCUAGGAAGAACACCAAACUGCAGUCUUGGCCUGGCCUCUCCAGCAAGAGCACCAACUGAAUGAACCAGUCAUACCCAAAAGUAAUCCGACUGGGAGAAGCGCAGUUGCUGUUAAGCCAAUGAAAUGCAAGGCAGGUUGGAUAACUGCGUGGUUGUGACACUGUCAUCCCCUUCUGGUAAAAAUCAUUGCCUGCAAUGGCAGACCGCCCACUGCUUCCACUUCAUGGCCAAUCUUUCAAUCUUCCUGAUAAAUGUGCCCCAGCUUUGUAGCCUCCUCCAGUAUCAAGAGUGGAGUUUGUAUGGAGAUCCUUCGGGAACCGAUGUCAAAUGCUCAACAAAUGUUCUGUUAAGUUUGGU